rnacentral:lncRNA from 1 species
AGGUGCCAAUGCUACACUUCCUUAGCUAGGAGCUAGCAAUGCUACGUGGAAUUGCAUGUCGAAAAUAUUUAAAAAGUCAACCUGCCAUCUCUCCUGCCCUGCUCGUCCAAGUUCCCACUCUAGUUCCAGUACUGGCAGGCUUCACCACUAUAUCCCAGCAGGGUCCUGCUUGGCAUGUUCUCCCAGGUAUCUUCUGAGAGGUUGUUCUCUCUCCACUUCUCAUUCAAGUCUGAAGAUGCUUACAGUCACCUGCAGUACUUCUAAAUCAGAGUUUUGAGAUGGAAGAGGUCACAGCUCCAAUGAUCUCAGCCGAAGAAGAUGAGGAAGAAGACCAGCACAAGUGAGUCUCUCUCAAAUCAGCUUUUGCUGGUAUCAGGAUUUCUCUGGAGGACUCAACAAAGUCCUCUCCAUGCCUGAGAUUCCUACAAUGAUUGAAAUUCCAUUGUUUCUUCCCCGUGGCAUCCAGCCCACUGUACGCUGUGGCAUUUGGACAGCUCCUGCUUCUGUUCCUACCUCCAGGUUCUUGCCUCGAGUUCCUGCUCUGCCUUCAUUUCACUAUACCUAGAAGCUGAAAUAAACUAUUUCCUCCACAA